CUUUACAGAUCAUUGGUGACACAUUACAGCUGACUGACUUAAAAAGACACUUGUUGCCGUGAUUAGGUCCAAAUUCCAGGAAUAGUUUUGCUGUCUCAAUGUAAUGUUGUUUGGGUGCAUUUUAAAAGUUCAUGAAAGUCCCUGAAUGACUGGUCAGACCUGAGUAAACACUACAGAAGAAGGGGGGCAAGAUGAAAUGUGUGUGUGUUUGUGUAUGAGAGAGAAACAGAGACCAGCGCAGCUCUAUUCCAGUAUCCUGCAGCUCAUCACAGGAGAGGUGAGCUCCAGUCUUUCUCAGUACCUCCACAACAUUCUUACACCUACAAACAUAGAAAAGUGACAUAUAGAAAGACAAAUAAAUUAUAUGAAGUCUUAUGAGUCAUCUGUGGUCCUCUACCAUUGAAUCUGUGUAAAACUAACUACAUUUUUACUUUAUUCAGAGAAUGUGAGUGGUGCUCGAUCAAUCAAAAGUUGCUACCAUGGUGCUGGGUGAAUUUGGAGAAUUUGUCUCUCUCUUUAGUAUCCAGGGCCCAGUUAUUCAAAAAUCCCUUGUUUUGUUAUCCAUGAUCAGGUUUUUAAAAUAAAGAUUGGAUUGAAUCACCCUGAUCCACACUGGAAGAAAAGAAAAAAUGGACAAACAAUGUACCUAUCUAUCUAUCUAUCUAGAAAAAAAGAUACAAAUUAAAGAUAAAACUAAAGCAUUUUUUAGUCUGUUUAAUUUAAUUUUAUUAACUUUGAACACCUUUAAUGUUUACUGUGAUGUUUUUUUUUUUUUUUUAAAUAUGCAUCAUAUUUUCUCUUAUGUACUAAAAAGAAUAUCCCACAAUAAUUUCUGCAGUCAGUCAAGCCAGUAUGUGUUCUGCACAGCAGCACUCUGGUGUCAAGUGAAAACAAAUUGUUUCUUUUAAUUUAUUUUCUAUGUUGAGUAUUAUUUACUUUUAGACAAAUUUGAGACGUUUCAGAUUUGUAUGACAUGGUAGUGUCAUUGCAGAUACAAACUUUUUUAGAUUAACUAAUCUGGAUUACCAGUGAUAUAAAUGAGACUAUAUUUCACAGGCUAGUAUGUAAAGAACAACAGGUGGAACAGUCAACAGUGGGUCACUUUAAGUGUUUGAUUUAAAGACACAGAAAACAGCAAAAUAAAAAGAUGUUAACAUCCUCUGCCAUAUUUAGUUUCUUUAAAUUCCCCUCAUCUAACAAAUAAAUAAAAAUAUACAUGCAAUGAGGGGUGCAGUUAUAAGAAACUACUUUUGACUGGUUCAUGUCUGAUGAUUUUGUCAUCAUAAUUAAUACAGAGAUAAUUGACAAUCAUCUUUAUGUAUUUAUUUAUCUUUUUUAAUAUACUGAAAGGCUAGAAACCUAAUAAUCAUUGCUAAAGCAGGUCACUGCUCAGGUUUAAUAAAUCACUGCCCAUCGCACACCGACGGCAGAAGUCUAGACAUGCAGAGACAAGCAAGGACACCUGAGAAAUCAUUGUUAACUCAGUGUAAUUGCAUUUAAGUGUCAUUUUAAUACCAGCCAUAGAAUAAGGGUACGACGAUUAAGAGAAUAUUAAAGCAUGACUUGAAAAUUAUUAUGGGCCUUGUUUAUUACAGGCUUUAUUAGAGCAUUGUAGCAAAUUCAGUACUAUGCAACUAGGUUUUUACAUUUUAAAAAGAAUAUGCAUGUCCAAUGUGUGAAAUGGUUUGGGUCCCUCUUUCAAUGUAAGUCUAAGGGAUUUAGUUUUAUUGUCCACUGGAUGAAAGUCUAAUCCCUUAUUAACAAAGACCUCUAAUUAAACCUUCUUAGGAGUCUUAUUAAUCUUAGUAGUAUGACUAGGAGGAGUGGUACAUAAUUUGUGCUAAUAGGAAAUAAUGCAGCAGUUUAACACUGCAUCUGGGUGUAGUUGUUCGCUUAUCUAUUUCAGGUACUUCAGACCUGAGUUUGGCCCUACCCAACCGACCUCUGACAAAUCUGGUGGCAGUCACCCUUCCAGUUUGUUCUGUUUCUCUUCACUAGUCAGAGUAUCAGCUAGACAUGAAACUUGAAUCAGAUAAACACAAGCUCAGUCUGGAUCCAGAACACUGAGAAGAGAUGAUGCCAACCCCUCAGAGGACCUCAGAUGAUGCCAACCCUGAAACAACAUCCAGAACUACCACAUUUUGCUAUAAGUUUGAUUGCAACAUAUAAAAAUUGCUGUUAAUAGUGUUCAUCAUCUGUUUGAUUACGUCUUUAAUUGAUUUUCCAUACAUUUCUGCCAUAUGCACAUAAACUGACAGUCACCACUGAUAAGCUACUACUAAAUAUUGUAGAAACUUAAUUUUGUAAAUCUUAAUGUAAAGCUGCUUUGCAACAAUUUGUAUUAUGAAAAGCGCUAUACAAAUAAACAUGAAUUGAAUUGAACUGAAUUAAGAUUAAGAAUGUUAAUCAUGAUAAUAUGAUGACCCUUAUGUGUGUUCAAAGAAAAAUGUUAUUAUUAGUUUUUAUUUGAUUACACUACAUUUGUACAGUCAUUUUAUAUAGUUUUUCAAAUUCAUAUGAAACCUAAAUAAAUGCAUUUGAG
ensembl:lncRNA